GGCAUGGUGGCUCAGUGGUUAGAGCGCCCUCCUCAUGAACGGGAGGUCGUGGGUUCGAACCCCGGCCGAGUCA
rnacentral:tRNA from 1 species